GCCAAGCAAGUGGCUCCAGCCCGGAGACCCGAUCCCCAACAAUGAGAGAAGAAAGCUCCGGAGGCCCAGGUCACAGACGCCUCCCCCACUAACCUCAGAAUGGAGGAACUCGAAGCGGAAGCAGACUUUCUAUGGGAACAGCAGGAAGACCUGUCCCUAACGCAUGCAUGGGAGCAAUCCGGCAUGUCCCAAGGCGAGGGGUCAGAUGACAGAGUGGCCUGCUGCGGGCCCCGAUUCAAGCUUGCCUUUCAAAUAAAGGGGAAGAGAAGAGAAAAGAAAUCUUCAGCAGUGAAAGCUUGAUGACUGGUCAACAGGAAACCACACCCACAUGACUCAGAAGAGAGAG